rnacentral:rRNA from 1 species
GAUGAACGCUGGCGGCGUGCCUAAUACAUGCAAGUCGAGCGAACGGACGAGAAGCUUGCUUCUCUGAUGUUAGCGGCGGACGUGUGAGUAACACGUGGAUAACCUACCUAUCAGACUGGUAUAACUUCGGGAAACCGUCUCUAAUACCGUAUAAUAUUUUGAACCGUAUUGUUCAACUGUGAAAGACGUUCUUGCUGUCACUUCUAGAUGGAUCAGCGCUGCAUUAGCUAGUUGGUAAGGUAACGGCUUACCACGGCAACGAUGCAUAGCCGACCUGGGAGAGGGAUAGGCGACACUGGAGCGUAGACACGGUCAAGACGACUAAGAGAGGGAGCAGAAGGGAACCUGAGGCAACGGUGGAAAGCAUGACGGAGCAACCGCGCGUGAGUGACGAAGGUGUUCGGAGAGUAAAAAUGGGUUAUGAGGGAAGAACAUAUGUGUAAGGAAAUGAGCACAACUUGACGGUACCUAAUCAGAAAGCCACGGCUAACUACGUG